UUUUCUCACUUUUCAAAAGAAUCGAAAGAUUGUCUAAUGGUCCAACGCCUUAAAUGACCUUUCGUUCAAUAAAAACAUAUCUUACAAAAAAGGAUAAAAAAGAAUAACUUAACCAAAACGCUUUGUUCACAAAAUAACUACGUAGGUCUGAUUUUCUCAUCACAAUUGAGGAAUACGUAGGAGCAAAGGGAAACGCCCUUGUCGACCACAAAAAGAUAAAAACAUAAAAGGCAUAAAAAGACGUAAGAACGUAAAAAGGGAAAAGAAUAUAAAUUGAAGUCAUAUUUGCACAUUUGAUUAAAGGCUGCCGUCUCUUGUGACGGACGCGUAGAGUGCUAAUACCUUCCCCGUGCGUAAAUACAACUCCUGAACCUUUCACUUAGAGUUCGUAGAUCACGUUUUUUCCGGUUUUUCAGACGUUUUUCUCAAAUAAACGUUGACGGCGACUCCACGCGUAUUCCUUUCUUGGAACACGCACCCGCGAGUCUCGCGUCGCCCUCCCGCCGAAGGGUAGGUUGCGACAACAUGCAAACACAAUUUUAAAUAAAUAACACAAUAUAAAUUUUAAUAAUAUAAAUUAAUAUGCAAACAAAAUUUUUAACAAUAUAUAUAUAUCAAAUUAUUAAAAACUAAUGUACCAUAUAUAUUUGAAUAAUAACUUAAAAUGCCUAAAACAAAUAAGAGAACACAAAAAAUAUUAACUACUUACCGAGUUUGACAAGAACAAUAUGGACGGGAUAACACAUAGCUCACAAGCUUUUUGCGACCACCAAACCAUAACGUAACAACACCAAUUAUAAAUUUAAAUAAAUAACACAAUAUAUAUUUUAAUAACAGUAGAAACAUUUACACAAUAUAUAUACCAAAUUCAUAUAAACUAAGUAACAUAUAUUUGAAUAAUAACUUAAAAUACCUACAAUAUAUAUAACAUCCAAACUUUAUCAUACCUAAAACUAAAAAAAAUAAAUUUAAUUAUGACCUACAGAAAAAAUAGAACACAAAAAUUUUAACUACAUGCCAAAUUUUAACUACGUACUAUAUAUUUUAAUAAUAUCUUAGAAUAUCUAAAAAAAAUAUUAACCUACAAACUAAGAAACGUACCACAUAUAUAUAUAUAUAACGCAAAUAAUAAAAUCAAAUAUUUAAAACACAUAAUAUUAAUAUCUAAAAAAAUAUAGCAUACAAACUUUAUAAUACCUAAAACUAAAACAAAUAAUUUAAUUAUCAAGUAACACAAAAAAAAAUUAACACAACAAAUAUUAACUACUUACAAAAUACCUAAAACUAAAAUAAAUAAUUUAAUUAAGAAGCAACAUAAAAUAAAUUAACACAACAAAUAUUAACUACUUACAAAAUUUGAGAAAGCAAGAGGAGAACCCACUUCAAACUUUUCACCACCAGCACAAGGUAACAACCACCAAGCCAAAGCGUAGCAAGCAGCAAGCAAAAUUCACCAAGUUCCGUACAGCUUGUUUCCAUUCAUUCGUAUAAGGGCGUUUUAUAGGGGAGAAGGUUAUUCCGCCACUCCCACUUGCAAACCCUUUCUGAAAAGUUUCUGCAAAACUUGCUUGCUACGUUCAGUCUGCUGCAUGCAUGCGUGCCAUGUAGGCACCUUUAUCGCCAGCAGCAAUGACGACAUACAUUCAAAAGAUAAUCGCCAGCCAUGUUAGUGACACCGCCCUGUACACUGCGCCCCUAUUCUGUAACACCCUGAACCACUGCGCCCCUAUUCUGCAACCUGCCCUAGACUCACCUAAUUCGCUAGUGCUGCUGGCUACACCCACCUCCACGUCACGUGUUUUGCCAAUGCCAAUGGCGAAACACCUCCAAAUCGCCAGUGCCAAUGGCUACUCAGCUGUAUCGCCAGCUUCACUGGCGCCAUCCAUUAAAAAACAGACCCCCCUCGUCAAUAGUUUUAAAAUAAACCCAGUUUGAUAAAAUGUUUGUAAAAGUGAUCCUAUUUGGUCAAUUUGCCUAACUUGAAUGCAUUGUUGAGAAUUGGUAGUUUGUUAGUUCCUACGAACCAAAACAUUAAACAUUACAGAAAAGAACCUAGGACUUGGGAAUAAGCAAUGUUCAUUAUUUUUCUUUUAGCCUCUAUCAAGUUUUUUACUUAUUUCUUCAUACAUUAGUUUCACAUAAUUUUUGUUCAUCUAAUCUUAACAUAAAAAUAAUAAUUCAGAGUAAUUAAUUUUGAUGACAGACACAGAGAGGCAGAGAAAAG
rnacentral:lncRNA from 1 species